AUUUCUAGGUCAUAUGGUAAGUCUAUGUUAAAAAUUAAUUUUAAGGGCCGGGGAUUUAGCUCAGUGCUUCCGGCGCCUGCCUUGCAAGCGCAAGGUCCCGAGUUCGAUCCCUGGUACCAAAAAAAAAAAUUAAUUAAUUUUAAAACCGUCAAACUAUUUUCACCAUUUUGCAUGUCCAUCAGAAGUAUGAGAGUUUCCAGUUGUUCUACAUCCUGGGUACUUAAAAUUGUUAUGAUUUUCAAUUUUAAUCAUUCUAAUAGUGGUGGAAAAGAGAGAAAUGAAUGAGGAAGGAAUAAGAAAAGGCUCUGCCUCUUUAAGUUCCAUGGAAGUCACUUCAGCUGGAGGGAGACAUGCUUGAACAAUGGGAAGAGGUGCAACAACUAUGGCCUCUUCAGCACCAUGUACACUUUUGUGAUCAGAAUUAAGCAUCAGAGCACAGAUCCUGAUAUUUGGAAGACAGGAUCCUUUUGGCCCCUGGCUCCCACAAGCUGUGUGCAAGCUGCUCCAGGAAUGUGCACAGCUGUUGCCACAGGGCUGGUGGUGGAGGGUGGGUAGCUGCUACUGUGCUAAAAGCUGAAAUUAAGCAAAACUAACAGUGUAUGUCCCAGCCUUCCCCUGGAAGGUCCAAGCCUUCAAUAGUCUCCAGACUCCAAAAGAGUUAAUCAGACAUGUUCUGCUAGUACAAUUCUUAUCUUUCAGGGGAGACAAAUUCCUAGGCUUCCAUGUUCCUAAGAAACCUCCCCUAAAAUUGGGUGCUUCCUACUCUGUUACCUUCCCAAGUCCUCUUCUAAUGCUUUUAUGUUUUCACAUGUAUUUCUGUGGGCUAGGGAUUUAGCUCAGUGGUGCCGCUGCCUGCCUCGAAAGCGCAAGGUCCUGAGUUCGAUCCCAGGUACCAAAAAACAAACAAAAAAAUACAUGUAUAUCUGUGAUCCAUUUUGAGUUAAUUUUUAUAUAAAAUGUGAGAUGUAUAUUCAGGUUCAUAAUUUUUUGGUUGUGGAUGUUCAAUUCCAGCACUGUUUGUUGAAGUCUUUCAUUUCAUUUCUCCAUUAAAUUUUCUUCCUGUCUAAAAUUCAAAUGACCAUACUUGCAUAGACCUCUUUAUUCUGUUCUGUUGAUCUGUGUGUCUGUCCAUCCUUUCAACAAUACCAAUACUGUAACUAUAUAGUAAAUUUUAAACUAAGU
rnacentral:lncRNA from 1 species